GAUCGCACAAGUGGCUGCAGCCAGGCUCUAAGAGGGAGAAAGAGCGGAUCCCCCAACCCCCCCCGCCCGCCCCCCGCCAGACGCGGCGCCGCGCAGGGUCCUAGUGCCCGCUGUGCGGAGGGUUCCGGAAUCUGGCCACUUCGCUGGGAGGCCCUGGGCUCCCCAGUGCCACCCGAAGGGCCUGAGGAGGCCAUCUGCAGGAUCAUUCUGGCUGCUGGGUGAAGGUUCAACUAAAGAAUGGCAAGAGUAAAAGCUGGAAAUCGAAUUAGGAGGCUCCUGCAGACCCCAGGCUGGGGGGUGAUGACAGCCAGACUAGAGUCGUGGCAGUUGUCUGAUUCCAGUUAGGUUUUGAAAGUGAAACCAUCAGGACCCACUGAUGGAUCGGAUGUGACAUGUGACCGUAAGAGAGAAGUCAAGGAGAAAUCCUGGCAAUUCACACACUGCUAGUGGGAGUGUAGUUAGGCAAAAACUACUUUGGGAAACUAUU
rnacentral:antisense_RNA from 1 species